rnacentral:rRNA from 1 species
CGGGACACGUGGUAUCCUGUCUGAAUAUGGGGGGACCAUCCUCCAAGGCUAAAUACUCCUGACUGACCGAUAGUGAACCAGUACCGUGAGGGAAAGGCGAAAAGAACCCCGGCGAGGGGAGUGAAAAAGAACCUGAAACCGUGUACGUACAAGCAGUGGGAGCACGCUUAGGCGUGUGACUGCGUACCUUUUGUAUAAUGGGUCAGCGACUUAUAUUCUGUAGCAAGGUUAACCGAAUAGGGGAGCCGAAGGGAAACCGAGUCUUAACUGGGCGUUAAGUUGCAGGGUAUAGACCCGAAACCCGGUGAUCUAGCCAUGGGCAGGUUGAAGGUUGGGUAACACUAACUGGAGGACCGAACCGACUAAUGUUGAAAAAUUAGCGGAUGACUUGUGGCUGGGGGUGAAAGGCCAAUCAAACCGGGAGAUAGCUGGUUCUCCCCGAAAGCUAUUUAGGUAGCGCCUCGUGAAUUCAUCUCCGGGGGUAGAGCACUGUUUCGGCAAGGGGGUCAUCCCGACUUACCAACCCGAUGCAAACUGCGAAUACCGGAGAAUGUUAUCACGGGAGACACACGGCGGGUGCUAACGUCCGUCGUGAAGAGGGAAACAACCCAGACCGCCAGCUAAGGUCCCAAAGUCAUGGUUAAGUGGGAAACGAUGUGGGAAGGCCCAGACAGCCAGGAUGUUGGCUUAGAAGCAGCCAUCAUUUAAAGAAAGCGUAAUAGCUCACUGGUCGAGUCGGCCUGCGCGGAAGAUGUAACGGGGCUAAACCAUGCACCGAAGCUGCGGCAGCGACGCUGAUGCGUUGUUGGGUAGGGGAGCGUUCUGUAAGCCUGUGAAGGUGUGCUGUGAGGCAUGCUGGAGGUAUCAGAAGUGCGAAUGCUGACAUAAGUAACGAUAAAGCGGGUGAAAAGCCCGCUCGCCGGAAGACCAAGGGUUCCUGUCCAACGUUAAUCGGGGCAGGGUGAGUCGACCCCUAAGGCGAGGCCGAAAGGCGUAGUCGAUGGGAAACAGGUUAAUAUUCCUGUACUUGGUGUUACUGCGAAGGGGGGACGGAGAAGGCUAUGUUGGCCGGGCGACGGUUGUCCCGGUUUAAGCGUGUAGGCUGGUUUUCCAGGCAAAUCCGGAAAAUCAAGGCUGAGGCGUGAUGACGAGGCACUACGGUGCUGAAGCAACAAAUGCCCUGCUUCCAGGAAAAGCCUCUAAGCAUCAGGUAACAUCAAAUCGUACCCCAAACCGACACAGGUGGUCAGGUAGAGAAUACCAAGGCGCUUGAGAGAACUCGGGUGAAGGAACUAGGCAAAAUGGUGCCGUAACUUCGGGAGAAGGCACGCUGAUAUGUAGGUGAAGCGACUUGCUCGUGGAGCUGAAAUCAGUCGAAGAUACCAGCUGGCUGCAACUGUUUAUUAAAAACACAGCACUGUGCAAACACGAAAGUGGACGUAUACGGUGUGACGCCUGCCCGGUGCCGGAAGGUUAAUUGAUGGGGUCAGCGCAAGCGAAGCUCUUGAUCGAAGCCCCGGUAAACGGCGGCCGUAACUAUAACGGUCCUAAGGUAGCGAAAUUCCUUGUCGGGUAAGUUCCGACCUGCACGAAUGGCGUAAUGAUGGCCAGGCUGUCUCCACCCGAGACUCAGUGAAAUUGAACUCGCUGUGAAGAUGCAGUGUACCCGCGGCAAGACGGAAAGACCCCGUGAACCUUUACUAUAGCUUGACACUGAACAUUGAGCCUUGAUGUGUAGGAUAGGUGGGAGGCUUUGAAGUGUGGACGCCAGUCUGCAUGGAGCCGGCCUUGAAAUACCACCCUUUAAUGUUUGAUGUUCUAACGUUGACCCGUGAUCCGGGUUGCGGACAGUGUCUGGUGGGUAGUUUGACUGGGGCGGUCUCCUCCUAAAGAGUAACGGAGGAGCACGAAGGUUGGCUAAUCCUGGUCGGACAUCAGGAGGUUAGUGCAAUGGCAUAAGCCAGCUUGACUGCGAGCGUGACGGCGCGAGCAGGUGCGAAAGCAGGUCAUAGUGAUCCGGUGGUUCUGAAUGGAAGGGCCAUCGCUCAACGGAUAAAAGGUACUCCGGGGAUAACAGGCUGAUACCGCCCAAGAGUUCAUAUCGACGGCGGUGUUUGGCACCUCGAUGUCGGCUCAUCACAUCCUGGGGCUGAAGUAGGUCCCAAGGGUAUGGCUGUUCGCCAUUUAAAGUGGUACGCGAGCUGGGUUUAGAACGUCGUGAGACAGUUCGGUCCCUAUCUGCCGUGGGCGCUGGAGAACUGAGGGGGGCUGCUCCUAGUACGAGAGGACCGGAGUGGACGCAUCA